UACGUAGGUGGCAAGCGUUGUCCGGAUUUACUGGGCGUAAAGAGCGCGCAGGCGGUCGUUCAAGUCGCGUGUGAAAGCCCCCGGCUCAACCGGGGAACUGCGUGUGAUACUGGCGGGCUUGAAUUCGGGAGAGGGAUGUGGAAUUCCAGGUGUAGCGGUGAAAUGCGUAGAUAUCUGGAGGAACACCGGUGGCGAAGGCGGCUUCCUGGACCGACACUGACGCUGAGGCGCGAAAGCUAGGGGAGCAAACGGG
rnacentral:rRNA from 1 species